UACGGAGGUCCCAAGCGUUGUUCGGAUUCACUGGGCGUAAAGGGUGCGUAGGCGGUCGGGUAAGUCUGGCGUGAAAUCUCCAAGCCUAACUUGGAAACUGCGUUGGAUACUAUCCGGCUCGAGGAAUGGAGGGGAGACUGGAAUACUUGGUGUAGCAGUGAAAUGCGUAGAUAUCAAGUGGAACACCAGUGGCGAAGGCGAGUCUCUGGACACUUCCUGACGCUGAGGCACGAAAGCCAGGGGAGCAAACGGG
rnacentral:rRNA from 1 species